rnacentral:lncRNA from 1 species
GGCUGUGGUGAUCAUGGGUGUGGUGCUGCAAGGUGCCAACCUAUAUGGUUAUGUCCGGUGUAAAGUGGGCAGCAAGAAGAACUUAACCAGCAUGGCUACGUCCUAUCUUGGAAAGCAGUUUCUAAGACAAAACGCUGGAGAUGGUCAGACUUCAUGAGUAAAGACAAAGACUGGGCCAUGGACUCUGGGAGCGAUGGAGAAGAUCUUGGUGUUUAGAGCUCAGUCUGUUGCAGGGUGGGAUGUUGUGUUUAUUUUGUUACUUAGAAGCUUAUUUAAAAGAAGGAAACCACACGGGGCUGGAAACAGUGUCAGAGUGUGCUUGGUGUAUGUCUGUAUAGACAGUCCUGUGACAGCAACGUGUCCCAAAUCUGUGUGCUCUUUGCACACAUGAAUGGAGCAUUAUAUUUGAUCCAUAGACCGUAGGAAGGGCGUUCAGUCCGUCUCAGAUAUCUGUGUUUGCAUAGUAUUCCUGUGUGUUGUUUUUCGAGGUAAGUUUUGAUUCGGUGAUAAGGGUCAACAUGUUGGUUCAUGUAUGAAUUAGAAACAGUUAUUAAUUUCAAUGUGUUCUUUAUGGUAAAAUUCCUUAUCUUAGACUUGUAUAAGCAAGUAAAAGCUAAAUUUGGGUACUAGUGUUAACUGAUUUCUAAAAUUUUGUUUUUUUUUAGUAGUAAGUCAUUCACUCGAGCUGUUUGAUAUAAAUGGAUCUUUGUAGCUGUGGUGGAUGGACAGGCCGCUGUUGCUGUGUCUUUUGUGGCCAUAGAUCACUCUGGAAAGAUUACCUUUUAAUAAGAAUAUUAUUCUUAUGUAAUAAUGAGAGUAAUUGCUUAAGUACUUGGCAUAAUAAAUGCCUAUAAAAUACUGUAUGAAUUUAUUUUUUUCUUGUUAUAAAGGGGAUAUUAUAAAUUACAUUUGUAUUAAGGUUAUUUCCUAAGACAGUGGUAUACUAUAGACUAAACCAAAUGUGAACUAUUAUAGGCAGCUGAAUUCUUUUGUAGCUACUGAAAAUUUUGUUGGAAUCUUUAGAUUAUGUUGUAAAUACAUUUGUCUAUUGUUGGCACAUUUUAAAUGUCUUCUUUAUUAAAUCAGGGUCUUUAUUAGAGUGUAGCUUGUCAGGUGUAUAACUUUAUAUUUAUAUAAAACUGCCAUUUACAAAGC